UAUGGUCAUAGCUUAUUUCAGCCGUGCAGGGCUCUUCUCCUGGCAGUUUAGGCCAAUCCACUUCUUCCUGGCUCUGUACCUGGCCAAUGACAUGGAGGAGGACAACCAGGCCCCUAAACAAGACAUUUUUUACUUCCUCUAUGGGAAGAGCUAUGCCCAGCGCCCCAUGUUCCACAAACUGCGGUUCCAGCUCAUUCGGUCCAUGGGCUGGAGGAUCUGGGUAUCCCGGGAGGAGUGUGAAGAGAUCCAGGCUUACAACCCAGAGCUGUGGGUGUGGGCACGAGAUCGCACCAACUUGAACUUAGAACCAUAAAUCCAUAGAGGCUUGAAGUCAUCGGCCUGAGGAAGGUAUGUUGGUGUUCUCUGAGGUGUGGAGUCCUGUCUG